UACGUAGGGACAGACGUUGUUCGGAUUUACUGGGCGUAAAGGGCGCGUAGGCGGCGUGGUAAGUCAAUUGUGAAAUCUCCGAGCUUAACUCGGAACGGUCAAUUGAUACUGCUGUGCUAGAGUACAGAAGGGGCAAUCGGAAUUCUUGGUGUAGCGGUGAAAUGCGUAGAUAUCAAGAGGAACACCUGAGGUGAAGACGGGUUGCUGGGCUGAUACUGACGCUGGAUGACGCGAAAGCUAGGGUAGCAAACGGG
rnacentral:rRNA from 1 species